GGGUUGUGAGGUUAAGCGACUAAGCGUACACGGUGGAUGCCCUGGCAGUCAGAGGCGAUGAAGGACGUGCUAAUCUGCGAAAAGCGUCGGUAAGGUGAUAUGAACCGUUAUAACCGGCGAUGUCCGAAUGGGGAAACCCAGUGUGAUUCGUCACACUAUCGUUAACUGAAUACAUAGGUUAACGAGGCGAACCGGGGGAACUGAAACAUCUAAGUACCCCGAGGAAAAGAAAUCAACCGAGAUUCCCCCAGUAGCGGCGAGCGAACGGGGAGCAGCCCAGAGUCUGAAUCAGCUUGUGUGUUAGUGGAACGGUCUGGAAAGUCCGACGGUACAGGGUGAUAGUCCCGUACACCAAAAUGCACAGGUUGUGAACUCGAAGAGUAGGGCGGGACACGUGGUAUCCUGUCUGAAUAUGGGGGGACCAUCCUCCAAGGCUAAAUACUCCUGACUGACCGAUAGUGAACCAGUACCGUGAGGGAAAGGCGAAAAGAACCCCGGCGAGGGGAGUGAAAAGAACCUGAAACCGUGUACGUACAAGCAGUGGGAGCACCUUCGGGUGUGACUGCGUACCUUUGUAUAAUGGGUCAGCGACUUAUAUUCUGUAGCAAGGUUAACCGUAUAGGGAGCCGCAGGGAAACCGAGUCUUAACUGGGCGUUAAGUUGCAGGGUAUAGACCCGAAACCCGGUGAUCUAGCCAUGGGCAGGUUGAAGGUUGGGUAACACUAACUGGAGGACCGAACCGACUAAUGUUGAAAAAUUAGCGGAUGACUUGUGGCUGGGGGUGAAAGGCCAAUCAAACCGGGAGAUAGCUGGUUCUCCCCGAAAGCUAUUUAGGUAGCGCCUCGUGAAUUCAUCUUCGGGGGUAGAGCACUGUUUCGGCUAGGGGGUCAUCCCGACUUACCAACCCGAUGCAAACUACGAAUACCGAAGAAUGUUAUCACGGGAGACACACGGCGGGUGCUAACGUCCGUCGUGAAGAGGGAAACAACCCAGACCGCCAGCUAAGGUCCCAAAGUCAUGGUUAAGUGGGAAACGAUGUGGGAAGGCACAGACAGCCAGGAUGUUGGCUUAGAAGCAGCCAUCAUUUAAAGAAAGCGUAAUAGCUCACUGGUCGAGUCGGCCUGCGCGGAAGAUGUAACGGGGCUAAACCAUGCACCGAAGCUGCGGCAGCGACACUAUGUGUUGUUGGGUAGGGGAGCGUUCUGUAAGCCUGCGAAGGUGUGCUGUGAGGCAUGCUGGAGGUAUCAGAAGUGCGAAUGCUGACAUAAGUAACGAUAAAGCGGGUGAAAAGCCCGCUCGCCGGAAGACCAAGGGUUCCUGUCCAACGUUAAUCGGGGCAGGGUGAGUCGACCCUAAGGCGAGGCCGAAAGGCGUAGUCGAUGGGAAACAGGUUAAUAUUCCUGUACUUGGUGUUACUGCGAAGGGGGGACGGAGAAGGCUAUGUUAGCCGGGCGACGGUUGUCCCGGUUUAAGCAUGUAGGCUGGUUGUCCAGGCAAAUCCGGAUAAUCAAGGCUGAGGUGUGAUGACGAGGCACUACGGUGCUGAAGUAACAAAUGCCCUGCUUCCAGGAAAAGCCUCUAAGCAUCAGGUAACAUUAAAUCGUACCCCAAACCGACACAGGUGGUCAGGUAGAGAAUACCAAGGCGCUUGAGAGAACUCGGGUGAAGGAACUAGGCAAAAUGGUGCCGUAACUUCGGGAGAAGGCACGCUGGUGUGUAGGUGAAGUCCCUGCGGAUGGAGCUGAGACCAGUCGAAGAUACCAGCUGGCUGCAACUGUUUAUUAAAAACACAGCACUGUGCAAACACGAAAGUGGACGUAUACGGUGUGACGCCUGCCCGGUGCCGGAAGGUUAAUUGAUGGGGUUAUCCGUAAGGAGAAGCUCUUGAUCGAAGCCCCGGUAAACGGCGGCCGUAACUAUAACGGUCCUAAGGUAGCGAAAUUCCUUGUCGGGUAAGUUCCGACCUGCACGAAUGGCGUAAUGAUGGCCAGGCUGUCUCCACCCGAGACUCAGUGAAAUUGAACUCGCUGUGAAGAUGCAGUGUACCCGCGGCAAGACGGAAAGACCCCGUGAACCUUUACUAUAGCUUGACACUGAACAUUGAGCCUUGAUGUGUAGGAUAGGUGGGAGGCUUUGAAGCGUGGACGCCAGUCUGCGUGGAGCCAACCUUGAAAUACCACCCUUUAAUGUUUGAUGUUCUAACGUUGGCCCCUUACCGGGGUUGCGGACAGUGUCUGGUGGGUAGUUUGACUGGGGCGGUCUCCUCCCAAAGCGUAACGGAGGAGCACGAAGGUUAGCUAAUCUGGUCGGACAUCAGGAGGUUAGUGCAAUGGCAUAAGCUAGCUUGACUGCGAGCGUGACGGCGCGAGCAGGUGCGAAAGCAGGUCAUAGUGAUCCGGUGGUUCUGAAUGGAAGGGCCAUCGCUCAACGGAUAAAAGGUACUCCGGGGAUAACAGGCUGAUACCGCCCAAGAGUUCAUAUCGACGGCGGUGUUUGGCACCUCGAUGUCGGCUCAUCACAUCCUGGGGCUGAAGUAGGUCCCAAGGGUAUGGCUGUUCGCCAUUUAAAGUGGUACGCGAGCUGGGUUUAGAACGUCGUGAGACAGUUCGGUCCCUAUCUGCCGUGGGCGCUGGAGAAUUGAGGGGGGCUGCUCCUAGUACGAGAGGACCGGAGUGGACGCAUCACUGGUGUUCGGGUUGUCAUGCCAAUGGCACUGCCCGGUAGCUAAAUGCGGAAGAGAUAAGUGCUGAAAGCAUCUAAGCACGAAACUUGCCCCGAGAUGAGUUCUCCCUGAGACUUUAAGUCUCCUGAAGGAACGUUGAAGACGACGACGUUGAUAGGCCGGGUGUGUAAGCGCAGCGAUGCGUUGAGCUAACCGGUACUAAUGAACCGUGAGGCUUAACCUUACAACGCCGAAG
rnacentral:rRNA from 1 species